rnacentral:rRNA from 1 species
CCUACGGGAGACAGCAGUCGAGAAUCAUUCACAAUGGGGGAAACCCUGAUGGUGCGACGCCGCGUGGGGGAAUGAAGGUCUUCGGAUUGUAACCCCCUGUCAUGUGGGAGCAAAUUAAAAAGAUAGUACCACAAGAGGAAGAGACGGCUAACUCUGUGCCAGCAGCCGCGGUAAUACAGAGGUCUCAAGCGUUGUUCGGAAUCACUGGGCGUAAGGCGUGCGUAGGCUGUUUCGUAAGUCGUGUGUGAAAGGCGCGGGCUCAACCCGCGGACGGCACAUGAUACUGCGAGACUAGAGUAAUGGAGGGGGAACCGGAAUUCUCGGUGUAGCAGUGAAAUGCGUAGAUAUCGAGAGGAACACUCGUGGCGAAGGCGGGUUCCUGGACAUUAACUGACGCUGAGGCACGAAGGCCAGGGGAGCGAAAGGGAUUAGAUACCCCUGUAGUC